rnacentral:rRNA from 1 species
AGCGGCGGACGGGUGAGUAACGCGUGGGCAACCUGCCUCAUACAGGGGGAUAACAGUUAGAAAUGACUGCUAAUACCGCAUAAGACCGCGGUGCCGCAUGGCACAGCGGUAAAAACUCCGGUGGUAUGAGAUGGGCCCGCGUCUGAUUAGCUAGUUGGCGGGGUAACGGCCCACCAAGGCGACGAUCAGUAGCCGACCUGAGAGGGCGACCGGCCUCAUUGGGACUGAGACACGGCCCAAACUUAUACGGGAGGCAGCAGUGGGGAAUAUUGGACAAUGGGGGAAACCCUGAUCCAGCGACGCCGCGUGAGUGAAGAAGUAUUUCGGUAUGUAAAGCUCUAUCAGCAGGGAAGAAAAUGACGGUACCUGACUAAGAAGCCCCGGCUAACUACGUGCCAGCAGCCGCGGUAAUACGUAGGGGGCAAGCGUUAUCCGGAUUUACUGGGUGUAAAGGGAGCGUAGACGGCGUAGCAAGUCUGAUGUGAAAGAUCGGGGCUCAACCCCGGGCCUGCAUUGGAAACUGUUAAGCUGGAGUACAGGAGAGGUAAGCGGAAUUCCUAGUGUAGCGGUGAAAUGCGUAGAUAUUAGGAGGAACACCAGUGGCGAAGGCGGCUUACUGGACUGUAACUGACGUUGAGGCUCGAAAGCGUGGGGAGCAAACAGGAUUAGAUACCCUGGUAGUCCACGCCGUACACGAUGAUUACUAGGUGUCGG